rnacentral:sRNA from 1 species
UUGGGAAACGGAUGGUGGAUAUAUUGAUUGCGCGCUUUUCGCUACCAUAGAAUCAUCACCAGAAGUAAGAGAGAAAAUGCGCAUAAAUGCUUGGCAUGGAAUAAACACUCAGCGAGAGUCAGCCACCAUGAGGGUGCUGCCUGGAGCAGCGUGCACCUCAUACAACCUCACCAGCGUCAUUUGUACUAAAGGAUCGUGCAGCAGAGUGCACAGGUCAACAGCAGGGUCUCUGAUGCCAGAGCACCAGAUCAUGGCCCAACUCUCAGUAUGUGACCUUGGGCAAGUCAUCUGACAGCAAUGAGCCUCAUUUUCCUCACCUGUAAAGCGGGGAUUAGACACAUCACAGGGGUGUAAAGAUUAAAUGAGGCGAUACUUGUAAAGCAUUUAAAACAGCUGCCGACAGAGUGGGCACUCAGCCCUUGCUGGCUCUUAGCCCUAAGUGAGAGAGAAGCUGUGUGAUGGGAUGGAAGGAAGACAGAUUUGGGCUGUGUAAAGCCUGGCUCUGUCACUUAAUAGCUGUCAAAAUGUCAAGCAUUUAAUCUCUGAAGCCCUGCUCUCUCAUCUGCAGUGUGGUCAUUGUAGCAAUAGCUCAUGUAACUACCUCAUAGGGCCACUUGCUGGACCAAAAGCAAGGCGGAGGUUGAGACCCUCUCUACAGAUGUCCUCAAGCAUCAUCAUGGCCACACACCCCCUGCACAGCCAGCUGGAUGUCUCCCUGCACUGCCUCGCCCCUUCCUGUCCCAGAACUGGAAAGGAGGCCCCCACCCCAGCUGAACGUCAGGCCCUUGCCUUACUUUCUGCUCUUCUGUCCCCAGACGUUUAAUGAGUUUGAGAUCGAGCAGCACCAGGAAUGUGCCUAUGACCACCUGGAAAUGUAUGAUGGGCCGGACAGCCUGGCCCCCAUUCUGGGCCGUUUCUGCGGCAGCAAGAAACCAGACCCCACGGUGGCUUCCGGCAGCAGUAUGUUUCUCAGGUUUUAUUCGGAUGCCUCAGUGCAGAGGAAAGGCUUCCAGGCAGUGCACAGCACAGGUACCUGGGGUGGGACACUGGCUUCCACCUGAUGAGCACUUGGACAGGAGACAGAGAAAUGGUGAAGGCAGGACAAGGACUGCCUUUUAUUCUGACUGGGGGAGGGCGAGGGGAGGAAGGUGCAUGAUAAAAUGUCCUAUUAAAAUGAAGCAUCAAGCUGGGCGUGGUGGCUCAUGCCUGUAAUCCCAGCACUUUGGGAGGCCGAGGCAGGCGGAUCAUCUGAGGUCAGGAGUUCGAGACCAGCCUGGGCAACAUGGUGAAACCCCGUCUCUACUAAAAAUACAAAAUUAGCUGGGCAUGGUGGUCGGUGCCUGUAAUUCCAGCUACUCAGGAGGCUGAGGCAGGAGAAUUGCUUGAACCUGGAGGCAGAGAUUGCAGUGAGCCAAGAUCGUGCCAUUGCACUCUAGCCUGGACGAUAGAGUGAGACUUUGUCUCUAAAAAAAUAAAAUGAAGCAUCAGCAACCAUAGGGAAAA